CAGCAGCCGCGGUAAUACGUAGGUGGCAAGCGUUGUCCGGAAUUAUUGGGCGUAAAGGGCUCGCAGGCGGUUUCUUAAGUCUGAUGUGAAAGCCCCCGGCUCAACCGGGGAGGGCCAUUGGAAACUGGGAAACUUGAGUGCAGAAGAGGAGAGUGGAAUUCCACGUGUAGCGGUGAAAUGCGUAGAGAUGUGGAGGAACACCAGUGGCGAAGGCGACUCCCUGGUCUGUAACUGACGCUGAGGAGCGAAAGCGUGGGGAGCGAACAGGAUUAGAUACCCCCGUAGUCCCUGUCUCUUAUAC
rnacentral:rRNA from 1 species